GUGGAGGCACAUGACUGGGGUUGAGAUGAGGUAAUCACAUGACUGGGGUUGAGAUGAGGUAAUCACAUGACUGGGGUUGAGAUGAGGUAAUCACAUGACUGGGGUUGAGAUGAGGUAAUCAUAUGACUGGGGUUGAGAUGAGGUAAUCAUAUGACUGGGGUUGAGAUGAGGUAAUCAUAUGACUGGGGUUGAGAUGAGGUAAUCAUAUGACUGGGGUUGAGAUGAGGUAAUCAUAUGACUGGGGUUGAGAUGAGGUAAUCAUAUGACUGGGGUUGAGAUGAGGUAAUCAUAUGACUGGGGUUGAGAUGAGGUAAUCAUAUGACUGGGGUUGAGAUGAGGUAAUCAUAUGACUGGGGUUGAGAUGAGGUAAUCAUAUGACUGGGGUUGAGAUGAGGUAAUCAUAUGACUGGGGUUGAGAUGAGGUAAUCAUAUGACUGGGGUUGAGAUGAGGUAAUCAUAUGACUGGGGUUGAGAUGAGGUAAUCAUAUGACUGGGGUUGAGAUGAGGUAAUCAUAUGACUGGGGUUGAGAUGAGGUAAUCAUAUGACUGGGGUUGAGAUGAGGUAAUCAUAUGACUGGGGUUGAGAUGAGGUAAUCAUAUGACUGGGGUUGAGAUGAGGUAAUCAUAUGACUGGGGUUGAGAUGAGGUAAUCAUAUGACUGGGGUUGAGAUGAGGUAAUCAUAUGACUGGGGUUGAGAUGAGGUAAUCAUAUGACUGGGGUUGAGAUGAGGUAAUCAUAUGACUGGGGUUGAGAUGAGGUAAUCAUAUGACUGGGGUUGAGAUGAGGUAAUCAUAUGACUGGGGUUGAGAUGAGGUAAUCAUAUGACUGGGGUUGAGAUGAGGUAAUCAUAUGACUGGGGUUGAGAUGAGGUAAUCAUAUGACUGGGGUUGAGAUGAGGUAAUCAUAUGACUGGGGUUGAGAUGAGGUAAUCAUAUGACUGGGGUUGAGAUGAGGUAAUCAUAUGACUGUUAUCUUCUCUGAAAGCCACUGCUGCGGAGCAACACUGGGACUGGCAACGAGAGGUCUGUGUGCUGUUUUACCAUGUAGUCUGUAGUAGGGCCGACCCCAUGUAGUCUGUAGUAGGACCGACCCCAUGUAGUCUGUAGUAGGGCCGACCCCAUGUAGUCUGUAGUAGGACCGACCCCAUGUAGUCUGUAGUAGGACCGACCCCAUGUAGUCUGUAGUAGGACCGACCCCAUGUAGUCUGUAGUAGGGCCGACCCCAUGUAGUCUGUAGUAGGGCCGACCCCAUGUAGUCUGUAGUAGGGCCGACCCCAUUUAGUCUGU